AGAACCCGAGAGAUGAUGAUCUCUGGGAUUGAGGCUUAUGGAAUCUGACUCACAGAGUUGCCUCUAGUGUAGCCUGAUGAGGGGUGAUGGGACGAGAGGGAGGAGAGCUCGGUUUCCCACCAGUGAGGUGACCUUGGGCAAGACAUCUCACUGUGAGGGGAUCCACAUCUAUGAGAUGAGAGGUACAGGGGUUAUCUAACCAGGAUGUUUUCCCCCUCCUUGGGGUUUCAACACUCACUCACCCCUCCUUUGGGGAACUGUCCCUGCUCCAUUACAUAGGCUUUUGGGGUGCUGCCAGAGUGCCUGCUUCGCUGAGUACAGGGGUAAACUUCUAACCCAAGCCAGGUCAAGCUACAGCAGGUGAUCUGCUUUAGACAAGAGGGGAGGCAAAGACAUCAGAGUGGAGCCUUCCAAGGGCCACACCAGAGAAAUGCCCCGAGUCAUUGUGCUGCUUCCAGGCCUUCCCGAGGCUUACUUUAGGGAGUGAUGCCAGUACCCUUCCAAUAAACACUUUUUUUUUCCCUCUUAAACUUGAGUUAACAAAUGACCAUUUGUUUGUUUUUAACCCAAGAAGCUUAUCAGAUAUCAGAGAAGAGGAUGUUCCGGUGGUAAAAAGAGAAAGCUUCAGGCAGAAACGUACGACCACUUUGGUUUUGGUUGCUGAGAUGGAGCAGCGGCUUCUACGAGCGAUCGCAGGUGUCCAGGUGUCCAAGUCCCUGUGUGGGUCCUGGGCUGGCGGUGGGACCCAGUCAGACUGGACCCUUCGAUCAUAGGACCAUAUUGCUGGAGGAGACUCUCAAGAGCUCCUGUUUCCCUGGAAGGUCCAAAGAGGCGAACGAAUCACCUGAGCUGAUGGACUCUUUAAGGUCAUAGUUUACAGGCAGGACCUGGAAAAGUAUGGCUGUCGUAGUGGCUUUGAUGUAGUUCCAAGAUCUUGGGCAAAGGCGUGGUCCUAGCGGAAUCCCGAGGACCCAAGUCGAGCCCUGCUCUUUUAAGAAAGUGAGAUCUCAGGCCUUGCUAAUCAAGUGCCCUGGGCCGGCCUGGGGCCAGUUCGGCUUCGGUCUGGGCUUCGUGUGUUCCUUCCACUCUAGGAGGAAGGCCUUCCGCUAGUGCCCGUAGUUUUCCUCCUGACUUUGUCUCUUUCUCUGAGACUCUGAUUCUUGGGCUAAGAUAGACCUGGG
rnacentral:lncRNA from 12 species